CCAAACAAACGUGGACGCCAUAAAGGAUUGAACACGCGGGAAAAAAGGGAACAGUUGGGGCGUCCUCUCCCUCACGAGUGGGAUGUACGGGGGAGAACAUAUAAAGAGAUCGGAGAGUACAACUCAAAUUUCUCAAGAGAGCUCGGAUUACUUGUUCGACAGUACACAGAUCCGGACUGUCCUCAAUGGUCAAAAGUACCAAAUGCCUCGAAAGAAAGAAUACUUGCACAUUUGGAAAUAUGGAGAAGGGCAUAUGCCUGGGAUCUUGAGAGGCAUUGAUACUUCGUGUGCUAAAAAGUAUUCUGACUGGAAGUACGAUAUUAAAGAGCAUUUAACGAUUAAUGGGCCACAAAAUCGUUAUGGUGGUUGCACGGAUACGCAGUGGCAAAAAGACAUUGAAUUUUUCCGACGCCUAGAAAUUACGGUAUUAAUUUCUUGCUAAACUUAACUAUCUUAAUUAAAUAUAUUACUAACGAUAACUUUUUGCAGAAACGUUAUGUGGUCAACAAGGAAAAUAGGAAGAAACUGAAAGAGCUUAGCUAUGGAGGUUCUCAGUCAAUCCCAGCCCUGCGCUAUAAAAAACGCAAUUUAGAGACUGGGCAACUUGAGCUCAUCCCGGAUAGCUGGAUGGAUACUCACCAUAAAUCAGGCACAGGGUGGGUGACAGAGACAGCCAAAAAUACUUGGGAGGAAUUGCGUGCAUAUCGCGACACACAGCAGACACAGACAACUGAUACUGAGAGUUCCACACCAGUUUCGAGUGCGCCUGAAGAUGAAGACAUAUCUUUGGUACAAACUGUCUUCGGAAAACGACGGGGCCACCAGAAAGGAUAUGGAUGUAUCCUUAACAUAAGGAACCGAACUCCAUUUGAUUUUCGUCCUUCACAAACUAGAGAUGAAGAGUUGUCUGAUAUGAGAGAGCGUCUUCGACAGUUAGAGGAGCAUGUCCGGACUCAUUGUAUCACCCCGGGAUCUCAA